rnacentral:sRNA from 1 species
GAGAUGACUUCCUCGAUCUAGCGGAGUCUCCAAAUGCCUCGGACACCGAAUGCAGCGACGAAAUCCCCCUGAAGGCUGGUCCAGGGACCCUCAUCAUGGCCACAGGAGUCCAGGACUUUAACCGGACAGAGUUUGAUCGACUGAAUGAGAUCAAAGGUCACCUGGAAAUUGCCUUAUUGGAAAAACACUUCUU